ACCUACGGGGGGCAGCAGUGGGGAAUAUUGCACAAUGGGGGAAACCCUGAUGCAGCGACGCCGCGUGAGUGAAGAAGUAUUUCGGUAUGUAAAGCUCUAUCAGCAGGAACGAGACAAGACGGUACCUGACUAAGAAGCCCCGGCUAACUACGUGCCAGCAGCCGCGGUAAUACGUAGGGGGCAAGCGUUAUCCGGAAUCACUGGGUGUAAAGGGAGCGUAGACGGCUGAGCAAGCCUGAAGUGAAAUGCCGGGGCUCAACCCCGGAACUGCUUUGGAAACUGUGCAGCUAGAGCGCGGGAGAGGG
rnacentral:rRNA from 1 species